GACGAACGCUGGCGGCGUGCCUAAUACAUGCAAGUUGAGCGAUGAAGCUUGGUGCUUGCACCAAUUUGAAGAGCAGCGAACGGGUGAGUAACGCGUGGGGAAUCUGCCUUUGAGCGGGGGACAACAUUUGGAAACGAAUGCUAAUACCGCAUAACAACUUUAAACAUAAGUUUUAAGUUUGAAAGAUGCAAUUGCAUCACUCAAAGAUGAUCCCGCGUUGUAUUAGCUAGUUGGUGAGGUAAAGGCUCACCAAGGCGAUGAUACAUAGCCGACCUGAGAGGGUGAUCGGCCACAUUAGGACUGAGACACGGCCCAAACUCCUACGGGAGGCAGCAGUAGGGAAUCUUCGGCAAUGGACGAAAGUCUGACCGAGCAACGCCGCGUGAGUGAAGAAGGUUUUCGGAUCGUAAAACUCUGUUGGUAGAGAAGAACGUUGGUGAGAGUGGAAAGCUCAUCAAGUGACGGUAACUACCCAGAAAGGGACGGCUAACUACGUG
rnacentral:rRNA from 1 species